GCCCAGGUAAAGGAGGAGGGAGGAAGGCUUGAGCGUCGCAAAGUCAAUAGCAGAGGAAGCUGGGCAUUUUAUCAAUAAUCUCCCAUCAGACGGACAGUUUGGAUCACUGAAUCAUUGUUGUUACCUUUGGAUCUUUGUUGUCAUUUUCUUGCUGAAUGUUGAUGGUAAGUUCAAUCUCAACAUGUUGUUGCUGAAGUUGAUAUAUGGUUUGCUUUGGAUUCUCAAUAUAAUAAACUUCCCUGGAUCUGUUCAUUUGAUUAGGUUUUUCCCUUCUGAUUCUUCUUUAUAUAUAUACAUAUAUAUAUCUAUAUAUAUAUUCCAAAUUUUUAUUCUCCUUUAAUGAAUGUGUGUUUUGUUAGAUUUGGAGAGAUGGGGGUCUCUGGAUUUUCUUUAGAUUUUAGGGAAAUGCUGCUUUCUAUUAACAUGGUGGCCAUUUCUUGACUUAGAAUGCUACAGAUUCUCAUUUUGUAAUUCUCUUGAUUAAACUGAAUGUUUGUAAUUAUGUUCACUUGUGCAUCCAAAUGCAGCCUUAAUGUUUUUGCCCUUUUGGAUGCUUCUUAACUUGACAGCUUGAAAUCUGGAUACAAGCUGCACAAGAUCCUUGAAAUGUUGAGUUUCUAUUUUCGAUUUUAGCAAGAAGGGAUUACGUCUGGGAUUUUAGCUACACAAGAUGCAGGAAAGGAAGGCUUCUCCAUACAACCAAGCAAUGACUUCAACGCAUCUAAGUUACCCUCUUCAAAGAUGAGAAGAUUCAUCAAUGUAAUCAACAUAAAAAGUAUCCCUUCCAUAUGAAUUCAGGUUGUGGUAUUGAUAGGGAGUUCAGCUAGUGUUGUCGACGUCUCUAGGGACAUUGCCAAAGUUGCUAAGGAAGUUCAUAUAUCAUCAAGAUCUACACUGGAUGGACCAACAGCAAUAUUACAUUCUGCAUUUUUUCCCACUAGAGUUGCGUUCGCAAAAUAUUCAAUACAUGCAAAAGGUGAGUCACAUACCAUGAAACUUGUUAUAGAAAUUGGGCCAAUCUACUCAUUGGGUAGGCUAUAAGUCAAAAUCAAUGGCCAGCUAAUGGACAUCUAGCUAAUCACAUGACAUCAAGUAAAUAAUUAUUGGU